AGUGGUAGUGGGGAGAGCGGAACCGAGAUCAGAUAGAUUGAGGCUGUCUUCUUGCUUGUCGUUGCUCAUCGUCACCUCCGCCGAGAUGUGAGAAAGAGUAAAACCCUAGAGAGAGACAGAAGGAUUGGGGAGCGAGGGGAAAGGGUGAAUAGGAAUUAGGAAGGACUGGAGUUAUCAUAGCCGGGAACCCAGACGCCAUGGUUUUGCAAAGAUCACGGACCAAGGGAUGAUCCAGAUCCUUGGAGGAGAUCUAGAGUUAGGGUUUCAUACCUCUUAGUCUUCGGAUUCGGCCGUAGAGAAGCUCGUAGAGGAGGAUGCGGUGCUGCCAUGGG
rnacentral:lncRNA from 1 species